rnacentral:rRNA from 1 species
AGCUCCAAUAGCGUAUAUUUAAGUUGUUGCAGUUAAAAAGCUCGUAGUUGGAUUUCGGGUGUGGGGCGCCGGUCCGCUUCGGUGUGCACUGGCGGCCCAGGCCUUCUUGUCGGGGAUGCGCUCUGGUAUUGAUUUAUCGGACGCAGAGUCGGCGCAGUUACUUUGAAAAAAUUAGAGUGUUCAAGGCAGGCUUUUUUACAGCUUGAAUACAUGAGCAUGGAAUAAUGGAACAGGACUACGGUCCCUUGUUUCGUUGGUUUCGAGGACCGAAGUAAUGAUUAAGAGGGACAGUUGGGGGCAUCCGUAUUUCGCAGUCAGAGGUGAAAUUCUUGGAUCCGCGAAAGACGAACUACUGCGAAAGCAUUUGCCAAGAGUGUUUUCAUUAAUCAAGAACGAAAGU